AGGUGUGGAUACAAAACUGCUCUGCCAAAAUAUUUUCUGUAAGAUCGACAGCUCACACACAACCGAAUGGGAUACACACCAGGAGUAACAUACAGCUGGAUUUACAGGUAUUUGAGAAGGUCUAGUACUCCUUUGCAUUCAUGUUGAUGUGUGUAAAUCAACAGAACUGUGCUCAGUUUUCCCAGGAGACUGAUGAUGAGCGCACACCAUUGAGAAAGGGGCAGUGCUGAACAGAAUGUGGAGGGAGAUGGUCCUACGUGUUCAUCAGUAAGAAAAUCUAUUGUGUCUAUUCCUUGAAUUGCUCUGACUGUAAAAUGGAAUGACUUUCUAAAACAAAUUUCAUUAACAAGAGUAAAUAAAUGCUGACUGUAUGAGAGAUAAAUGAUACAGAGGCAUUAUCUGUGUCCAGCUGGGUAAAUCUGAAUCCUCUGUGAUGGAAGUUUC